GACGAACGCUGGCGGCGUGCCUAAUACAUGCAAGUCGAACGCACUCUCGUUUAGAUUGAAGGAGCUUGCUCCUGAUUGAUAAACAUUUGAGUGAGUGGCGGACGGGUGAGUAACACGUGGGUAACCUGCCCUAAAGUGGGGGAUAACAUUUGGAAACAGAUGCUAAUACCGCAUAAAACCUAAACACCGCAUGGUGUAGGGUUGAAAGAUGGUUUCGGCUAUCACUUUAGGAUGGACCCGCGGUGCAUUAGUUAGUUGGUGAGGUAAAGGCUCACCAAGACCGUGAUGCAUAGCCGACCUGAGAGGGUAAUCGGCCACACUGGGACUGAGACACGGCCCAGACUCCUACGGGAGGCAGCAGUAGGGAAUCUUCCACAAUGGACGAAAGUCUGAUGGAGCAACGCCGCGUGAGUGAAGAAGGUUUUCGGAUCGUAAAACUCUGUUGUUGGAGAAGAAUGUAUCUGAUAGUAACUGAUCAGGUAGUGACGGUAUCCAACCAGAAAGCCAACGG
rnacentral:rRNA from 1 species